ensembl:lncRNA
GUCACCCUCCCUCCCGGUGCUGCCUCUGCCUCCUUCCUUCCUGCUCCUUCUCCCCGCAGCCCUCUCCCGUCCCCAGAGCCAAGCCCCCAGAGGGGGGUUGGCAUACCCCUCCAGCAGAUGGCCAGUCCAUCUAUCCUACAAGGAGGGGCGACCAGGCUUUCACCAGCACAGACACCAAGCCGUACCGAGGCCAGAACCCCAAAAUGACCAGGCUCUGUUCUUCCCCGGGGUAGCACGUGGAUUCAAGGAUCUCUGAAAAAAGCUGCUCUUAAAAGCUCUGGCUGGAUUGGCUCGCCUGUCUGGGAGAGCUCUGAGCCCGCACUGAGAAUGGACUUGCCGGGGAUCACACAGCCGGAAGUGCCAACAAGGGGACUGGAAGUGAGACUAGGAGGCCUGAUCGAUGCCAGGGAAGCCUUGCUGCUGUCAGCUGAUGGAUCUGAAAGUCAGAAACAACAACAAAGGAUGAUGCUUUCUGCCUGCCUCACAGAGGAUCCUCGAGUGGUUACAUCCCACAUUACUCCAGUGCAACACCAAGACCAGGAAACUGGCAUUGGUACAAUGUGCGCAUAUCAUUCUGUCAGUUUAUUACCUGUGGAGAUUCAAGAAAUCACAGCAAUCAACCUCCGCAACUGUUCCAUCACCACAAAGACGUCCCUUGUGCUACCCUUCACUGUCACAUCCACCUCUACCAUCCCCAGCUCUUGGCAACCACUCAUCUGUUGGCCAUCUCCACGACUGCCACAUCAAGAAUGUUAUGUAAAUGAAAUCAUAGGCUAUGCUGGCUCUUGAGAAUAGCUUUCUUCACUCACAAGGGCCUUAUUUUAAAAUAAGUAUUUACUGAGUACCAACUACAUAGGCAGGUGUUAGCCCCUUUAGGAAUAUAUAUCACAUGAGAGUCUUCUGGUUGAAAGUGACAGAAGCCACCUCAAAUUGUAAAACGAG